AUGAGAAGGCACAGCCAUCACAGCAGAGCUGGGGACGUGGGGACGUCCGUCAGCCUCCAGGGUGAGGCACACACUGCAUCUGGACCCUGUGCAGUGAGGCGUGUGCUAUCCGAGGCUGGCCGUGCCCGACUCCCUGCACAGGGGGCUCGUGCCCUGCCCACCACAGAGCCGCCCCACCAGGGCGGCGGUCCCCUGCGACGGAGGGCCCCCCACGCUGCCGGCCGUCGUGUCCACAUGCCUCCGCCAAGUCACACCCAGCACCAGCAGAAACGUCUACAGAGAGCGCAGGAGUUUCCAACUGUGGGAAGUGGAUACUGGCGCCUGUUGACUCAAAUUCUUCUUAAUUUUUAUUUUUCCAGCCGCUGCGAGACUCCCCGAAUAAUUCUCUCAGGUCUUCUGAUGAGCAGUUGCCAUUUUCCCUUUCAGAAAACUGGGAGAGGAAGGACCCGGGCAGACCCUGGCGGCAGUGGGGGGCAGAGCCGGCCUGUCCCCGGCCUCUCCCGCCUGCGGCCUUGGUCCCUUCCGGGGAAGCGAUUUGACCGCAGAGCCGAGUUCUCCACCUGCUCCAGGCACGUCAGAGGGGCGCCCUCACCGUGCUACAGACGGACGCUCGCCCCUCAAGGAGUCACCCCAAGUCACACGCCUGCUCUCACCGCCCAGAGUCUCCUACAUCCCCAAAUCCUGACUUUGUCGUCCGCCCCCGCCCCCCGCCCAGGGCUGUCGGCACCACACGUGGCCUCCUUUUCGGGACCUACUGGGCGCCAGUGGAUUAGAAGCCACGCAGGAGACGGAAGUUUCAGGUUAGUGGGAAAACCCCUGGCUUUUUUGAAACACUGUCCUUGCGCUUAAUUUUAAUUUCCAGACCCUGGAAAACAUUGCCUAUGUGAGAAUGGACCACAGUCACCAGUCGGCCGCCAGGAGAGCGACAGGCUGGCUUCCUCUCCCAACUCAGGUUCCCAGACACGACACCACAGGGGCCUCGGGCCGCGUCCGCCUGGGCGGGUCGCACUGAGAUUUCGUCUGGGAGCCGAAGGUUCCCGGGGGGGCGGAGGGGGGGAUGCCCGGGGGGGGCGGAGGGGGGGAUGCCAGGCGCGGAAGGACCGCCGAGUGGCUGAAUUAGAUCCUUGAUUUCAUCAGCUGCCUUGGGUUGGCUGUGAUCCUCUUUCGUCAAAAGGAAGCCUCGGUUUCCCUCAUUUUGACUGUCGGGCUGAAACAGCAGCUUAACAGAAACACCCAAGCGUCACGACAACACACUCUGUAAAAAUGGGGCAAGAGCAAGACAGGACUCCCUGCAGAGGCGCUCCCCCUGCACAGGGACUGAGACCCAGGGGACUUCAAAACAAGGCCCCUUUCAACUAAGAGCACAAGCAUCGCCUGCGUACGCCAGACACGGGGCCUCUCGCACACAGGGCACUGGAACAGAUCACGCUCCCCAGUGCGGGAAGCUCACUGUUUCUUAGAAUAGCCAUCCAUAAAGUUAGCUUUGUGGCUUACAAAAAAGGACCAAGUCAUGGAUGUGAAGAAACGCCCGCCUUUGGACGCCCACCGAGCUUUCCCACGCGGGGCGCCCUCGGCCCCUGUGUGGGGGCCUCUCAGGUCCACGCCCGCUGCCAUGUGACCUUUUCGAGCUCCCGCUCCCUCGGCCAGGUCGUCUGUUUUCCCUUCAUUGUUCUGCUACUUCUAACUGCAGUUUCAAAGAUUACACGACUGCCCCAAAGACCCCGAGCACGAAACUGAAGCAUUUCAGGAAGGUGGUUGACCCACCGCUAGGCCAGAAGCUGUGGCUAAAUCUCUGCCUUCGCUGGACUUUGGCAGAAGAUUUUUAAAUCUGCAAAAGAUGUCACACAAUUGGAUUUUACUUGACGUGAUGACAACUUCAUUAAAAUAUUUAAUUAAUAAAAUAUUUAAGAAAAAAAUGUGGCCCCCA
rnacentral:lncRNA from 1 species